CCGUGGGAGAGGAGCCGAGCACCCGGGUAUUCACUGGUAGACGCCUUGGCGGAGAGGGAUGCAGAUCCAUCCGCCAUCCUGGCGGAAGAACCGGAGAUGGCGAUGGAGACCUAGUGCGCCUGAUUUUCCCCACCGGUGCUAGGCCGGAAGGGGUCACCUCCUGUGGUUGACUCCGCUGAUUCACAAGUCCUCACCCCCUCAAUCGAGUCCCCGUUGCUCUGCCGGUGGGCUCCGGCAGGUGGCGCCCAACGUGAAAGCUCGAAAACACGGGAAACAGGUAAAGGAAAACUGCCCGGUGAACAAAGACGCGUCAAAUAAAAAGAUUCCGGAGCUGAGAGGUUGCCAACCCGACUUCUGAAACGGAGAGAUGGCUAAGAAGUCCCGCACUCAGAAGUUUCUGCAAGAGUUUGAAAAAUUUUCCCUUUUCCUUAUGCUGAAGAAGAAGGCAGGCAUAUUAAUAAUUAUAGCUUGGGGGUGAGGGGUUCUCUAUU